AGCCCUGUCCGUUAAUCCCGCCCCUGUGUUUGUGUCUGAGUUUCAAGUUUCCCUCUAACUCCUGGGAGCGCGGUCUCAAAUGACCCGCUGCAAAUUCAGUACAGAGAAAGAAAGAAGGAUCUAAGAAAGUUUUCCUCUCACCAACAAGGGAUUGUACACACACCAGAGAAGAAGGGCCCAGGACUGAUGGUAACAGAAGUGAUGGAAACUAACCAGAACGAGCAAACUCCAAAGGGACACAGGCAACAGUAUCAAGACUGAUCCUCACCAGGAGGGCCAUACUAUCCGGAUGGAGGACUAGCAGCUUGGAAUUUCUCCCACUUGAAAUUUGUUUAUAUCCGGAAAUGAUGGAAGAAAAGAAAACAAGAGGAAUGAUUGAGUGUCAGUGGGCAUAAAAUGGAAUUUGAGAAGUCUCUUAGGUAUCUAAUUCCCCAAGUCUCAUAGGAACCACACAAAUUAUAUCAUAAAGGAACUCUACCUGUCAAACUCUUGAUAUGUAUUCGAAAUACUUUGCAACUCAUAGUUGGAGAACUUAUCUUGAUAUAUACCCUUUGCAUCUCUCUCUUGCUGAAUUAAAGCAAUCACCUUAUAAGUACUCAA